GUGGCAGCGGCGGCGGCAGCAACAGCAGCGGCAGGCAGUGCAGCUCUUCUUGUCCUCGCUGGGCUGGGGCAGUUUACCCAAACCCAGCUUUGCCAGUCCCUACUUAUCUCCAGGAGGAAAAGGAAGGAGCUAGGUGACACCCACAUGUGAUCAGUGAGUGCUUGGUAGCAGCAACCACCCACUAUUCCUUUCAUUCACCUUUAUCCCAACUCACUGCUCCUUGGAAAGCCACUAAAACUACCAGCAGGACUCUGUUGAGGGUACCAGCAACAGCAGAUGCCCCACGAACCCCACAGGGAAUGGUUGUAGAAUGGUGAUUGGACAUGUGCAAGAAGGAACUGAUGGAUUUAAUGAUGGAAGACACCACAAGCCACUUACUAUACCUGAUGGCUUCUUUUCCAGAGUAGGAGACAGGUUCUGAGAUUACAGUCAUGCAUUAUCUGUGCCGAUUUCUGCAGUGCUGGGGAUGGAACCCAGAACUUCAUGCAUGCUAAAAUACUCUGGGAGUGCCAUUCCCUCUACCUGGCCUCUUGAAAGCUUCCUUCUCUCUGAAGAACCAAUUGUUGAAGGCUUUGGAACCACCUAAUAGAAGUGGCAUUUUCUCUAACCCAACAAACUAGUCACUUACUUUCUGUGGCUUGCUAAGACAGAUUUGAAACAGAAGUAGGGUGUCCAGCCCCCUGUGGUCUUAGGCCACCACCAUUGAAUGAAUAUAUGCAGGCAGCUGCCAGGCUAUGCUGUGAUUGGGAACCCGAGUUUUGUAAUGUCUAUAUGCCCUGCAGUGUAACUCAGAAUAAAAACAAUAGCAACCAUGAAAACAAUAAUGGCCCUGUUUUUCUUGUUCUCCUUUGGAAAAAAAAAAAAAGAUUUUAAAUUUUUU